rnacentral:rRNA from 1 species
CACGGACCGCACGAACGUUAUUCGGUAUCACUGGGCUUAAAGGGUGCGUAGGCGGCCUUGCAAGUUGGGUGUGAAAGCCCUCGGCUCAACCGAGGAAUUGCGCCCAAAACUGCCGGGCUCGAGAGAGACAGAGGUAAGCGGAACUAAUGGUGGAGCGGUGAAAUGCGUUGAUAUCAUUAGGAACACCGGUGGCGAAGGCGGCUUACUGGGUCUUUUCUGACGCUGAGGCACGAAAGCCAGGGGAGCGAACGGG